rnacentral:lncRNA from 1 species
UUUUUAUCACAAUUGCUCUGUAGUAAAGCUUUAGGUCAGGCAUGGUGAUUCCACCAGAGGUUCUUUUAUCCUUGAGAAGAGUUUUUGCUAUCCUCGGUUUUUUGUUAUUCCAGAUGAAUUUGCAAAUUGCUCCUUCUAAUUCGUUGAAGAAUUGAGUUGGAAUUUUAAUGGGGAUUGCAUUGAAUCUGUAGAUUGCUUUUGGCAAGAUAGCCAUUUUUACAAUGUUGGUCCUGCCAAUCCAUGAGCAUGGGAGAUCUUUCCAUCUUCUGAGAUCUUCUUUAAUUUCUUUCUUCAGGGACUUGAAGUUUUUAUCAUACAGAUCUUUCACUUCCUUCGUUAGAGUCACGCCGAGAUAUUUUAUAUUAUUUGUGGCUAUUGAGAAGGGUGUUGUUUCCCUAAUUUCUUUCUCAGCCUGUUUAUUCUUUGUGUAGAGAAAGGCCAUUGACUUGUUUGAGUUAAUUUUAUAUCCAGCUACUUCACCGAAGCUGUUUAUCAGGUUUAGGAGUUCUCUGUUGGAAUUUUUAGGGUCACUUAUAUAUACUAUCAUAUCAUCUGCAAAAAGUGAUAUUUUGACUUCCUCUUUUCCAAUUUGUAUCCCCUUGAUCUCCUUUUGUUGUCGAAUUGCUCUGGCUAAUACUUCAAGUACUAUGUUGAAAAGGUAGGGAGAAAGUGGGCAGCCUUGUCUAGUCCCUGAUUUUAGUGGGAUUGCUUCCAGCUUCUCUCCAUUUACUUUGAUGUUGGCUACUGGUUUGCUGUAGAUUGCUUUUAUCAUGUUUAGGUAUUGGCCUUGAAUUCCUGAUCUUUCCAGAACUUUUAUCAUGAAUGGGUGUUGGAUCUUGUCAAAUGCUUUUUCUGCAUCUAACGAGAUGAUCAUGUGGUUUUUGUCUUUGAGUUUGUUUAUAUAAUGGAUUACAUUGAUGGAUUUUCGUAUAUUAAACCAUCCCUGCAUCCCUGGAAUAAAACCUACUUGGUCAGGAUGGAUGAUUGCUUUAAUGUGUUCUUGGAUUCGGUUAGCGAGAAUUUUAUUAAGGAUUUUUGCAUCGAUGUUCAUAAGAGAAAUUGGUCUGAAGUUCUCUAUCUUUGUUGGAUCUUUCUGUGGUUUAGGUAUCAGAGUAAUAGUGGCUUCAUAAAAUGAGUUGGGUAGAAUACCUUCUACUUCUAUCUUGUGAAAAAGUUUGUGCAGAACUGGAGUUAGAUCUUCUUUGAAGGUCUGAUAGAACUCUGCACUAAACCCGUCUGGUCCUGGGCUUUUUUUGGCUGGGAGACUAUUAAUAACUGCUUCUAUUUCUUUAGGGGAUAUGGGACUGUUUAGAAGGUCAACUUGAUCCUGAUUCAACUUUGGUACCUGGUAUCUGUCCAGAAAUUUGUCCAUUUCGUCCAGGUUUUCCAGUUUUGUUGAGUAUAGCCUUUUGUAGAAGGAUCUGAUGGUGUUUUGGAUUUCUUCAGGAUCUGUUGUUAUGUCUCCCUUUUCAUUUCUGAUUUUGUUAAUUAGGAUUUUGUCCCUGUGUCCUUUAGUGAGUCUAGCUAAGGGUUUAUCUAUCUUGUUGAUUUUCUCAAAGAACCAACUCCUCGUUUGGUUAAUUCUUUGAAUAGUUCUUCUUGUUUCCACUUGGUUGAUUUCACCCCUGAGUUUGAUUAUUUCCUGCCGUCUACUCCUCUUGGGUGAAUUUGCUUCCUUUUUUUCUAGAGCUUUUAGAUGUGUUGUCAAGCUGCUAGUAUGUGCUCUCUCCCGUUUUUUCUUGAAGGCACUCAUAGCUAUGAGUUUCCCUCUUAUAAAUGCUUUCAUUGUGUCCCAAAGGUUUGGGUACGUUGUGGCUUCAUUUUCAUUAAACUCUAAAAAGUCUUUAAUUUCUACAAAGACUCAAAACAAUUUUUAGUCAAUAAAAUUAUUCUGAGAGAAUACAGCUAAAAUUACUUUCUAAAGAAACCAAGAUUUACUAAUACCUUUUAUUUUUAUUUAAAUUUACAAUAAAGCUGGAUUAAACUAGAUUUUCUAUCUUGCUAAAAUGACAAGUAAUUGUAGUUCCUGCCUAGAUAAAGACUCUUUUUUAUGCCAUAAAAAUCGUAAGUUUAGAUAUUCUUUUAAAGAGUAGUGGAGAGACAAGACUAUAUUGCCUUUAUAUAUCAAGGGAUUAGACAGUAUUUUAUGUUGUCUAAUUCAUUAUUUUCUUAGCCAAUGGACAAUUUAACCUUCUUCAGCAAGUGCGUUUCAUUUUGAUUACACAUUUUUCUGAAUGUUUGUGUUUUUAUGUAUGUAUAUAUGCAUAAUCGUAUGAAUGUGUACGAGUGCAGGCACAUAUCAGCAUAUGUGAAUGAGGGUUGGGGCAUUGUCCUGAGCAUCAGCUCAGCCUUUCCCUUUGUUUGAAACAUAUGUUUUAUUGCUAUUGAUUAAUGCAUACAUUAGGUUAGCUAGCCUCAAUACUCUUAGGAUUCUCCUGUGCCUAGCUCUCAUUUCCCUGUAAACAUCUGGACUAAAAGGUAUGUGGUACUGUGCCAUGACUUCACCAGUUCUAGGUAGCUGGCUAGACUUCCAGUACCAGGUGGCUUCUCUCUUGUUAAUCAGUGGAUAAUAAGUACAGGUGAGGAGUUGCUGGUUACUGCCAAGGUAUGCAUGCCACUAUUGCAACACUAGAGUUAUUGUGCCUGUCACUGUUGUAGUUUAUAGACAUCACAGCUGGGUAGGAGGAUUGGUUGCAUCCCUCCUUUGUAAGCUUGCAUGGUGCCUUCUGGUACUAUAAAUGAGGUUUUCUCAAGGAAGUGAUGUUCAAGUUAGUUCCAGCUUCAGGGCCUGUGUGCAUUAUGUGUAAAGUGGAUGGUGCCCUCACUCAAAAUCUUAAAUAAAUGUUUACAAUAGUUUUAGUC